rnacentral:rRNA from 1 species
UACGAAGGGUGCAAGCGUUACUCGGAAUUACUGGGCGUAAAGCGUGCGUAGGUGGUUUGUUAAGUCUGUCGUGAAAUCCCCGGGCUCAACCUGGGAAUGGCGAUGGAUACUGGCAAGCUAGAGUGAGGUAGAGGAGAGUGGAAUUCCCGGUGUAGCAGUGAAAUGCGUAGAGAUCGGGAGGAACAUCAGUUGCGAAGGCGGCUAUCUGGGCUGAAACUGACGCUGAGGCGCGAAGGCUAGGGGAGCAAACAGG